rnacentral:rRNA from 1 species
UCGCCUACAUGAAGCUGGAAUUGCUAGUAAUCACAGGUCAGCAUACUGUGGUGAAUACGUUCCCGGGCCUUGUACACACCGCCCGUCGCACCAUGAGAGUUGAGAAUACCCGAAGCCCAUGUCAAAGUGGUCGAAGGUAGGCUUGAUGAUUGGGGUGAAGUCGUAACAAGGUACC